AGACCCCGUGCGGGAGAGUCCUUCGACAAUGGUGUCGGGGGCGCCGAAGGAGCAAAUCCUCCCCGGAAUCUCUCAGGCACACGUACCGUGCGGGCGAG
rnacentral:ncRNA from 2 species